rnacentral:rRNA from 1 species
AGAGUUUGAUCAUGGCUCAGGAUGAACGCUGGCGGCGUGCUUAACACAUGCAAGUCGAACGAACCUUCGGGUUAGUGGCGGACGGGUGAGUAACGCGUGAGAAUCUGCCCUCAGGAGGGGGAUAACGGUUGGAAACGACCGCUAAUACCCCAUAUGCCGAUAGGUGAAAUGAAUUUCGCCUGAGGAUGAGCUCGCGUCUGAUUAGCUUGUUGGUGAGGUAAUGGCUCACCAAGGCUUCGAUCAGUAGCUGGUCUGAGAGGAUGAUCAGCCACACUGGGACUGAGACACGGCCCAGACUCCUACGGGAGGCAGCAGUGGGGAAUUUUCCGCAAUGGGCGAAAGCCUGACGGAGCAACGCCGCGUGAGGGACGAAGGCCUCUGGGCUGUAAACCUCUUUUCUCAAGGAAGAAGAUAUGACGGUACUUGAGGAAUAAGCCACGGCUAAUUCCGUGCCAGCAGCCGCGGUAAUACGGGAGUGGCAAGCGUUAUCCGGAAUUAUUGGGCGUAAAGCGUCCGCAGGCGGCCUUUCAAGUCUGCUGUUAAAGCGUGGAGCUUAACUCCAUUAUGGCAGUGGAAACUGAUCGGCUUGAGUAUGGUAGGGGCAGAGGGAAUUCCCGAUGUAGCGGUGAAAUGCGUAGAUAUCGGGAAGAACACCAGUGGCGAAGGCGCUCUGCUGGGCCAUUACUGGCGCUCAUGGACGAAAGCCAGGGGAGCGAAAGGGAUUAGAUACCCCUGUAGUCCUGGCCGUAAACGAUGAACACUAGGUGUCGGGGGAAUCGACCCCUUCGGUGUCGCAGCUAACGCGUUAAGUGUUCCGCCUGGGGAGUACGCACGCAAGUGUGAAACUCAAAGGAAUUGACGGGGGCCCGCACAAGCGGUGGAGUAUGUGGUUUAAUUCGAUGCAACGCGAAGAACCUUACCAGGGUUUGACAUCCUGAGAACCUCUUAGAAAUUUGAGGGUGCCUUCGGGAAUUCAGUGACAGGUGGUGCAUGGCUGUCGUCAGCUCGUGUCGUGAGAUGUUGGGUUAAGUCCCGCAACGAGCGCAACCCACGUUUUUAGUUGCCAGCAUUUAGUUGGGCACUCUAGAAAGACCGCCGGUGAUAAACCGGAGGAAGGUGUGGAUGACGUCAAGUCAUCAUGCCCCUUACACCCUGGGCUACACACGUACUACAAUGCUACGGACAAAGGGCAGCAAACUCGCGAGAGCUAGCAAAUCCCAUAAACCGUGGCUCAGUUCAGAUCGUAGGCUGCAACUCGCCUACGUGAAGUAGGAAUCGCUAGUAAUCGCAGGUCAGCAUACUGCGGUGAAUACGUUCCCGGGCCUUGUACACACCGCCCGUCACACCAUGGAAGUUGGCCAUGCCCGAAGUCGUUACUCCAACCCUUGUGGAGGAGGACGCCGAAGGUGGGGCUAAUGACUGGGGUGAAGUCGUAACAAGGUA